GAUGAACGCUGGCGGCGUGCUUAACACAUGCAAGUCGAACGGUGAAGCCAAGCUUGCUUGGUGGAUCAGUGGCGAACGGGUGAGUAACACGUGAGCAACCUGCCCUGGACUCUGGGAUAAGCGCUGGAAACGGCGUCUAAUACCGGAUAUGAGCCUCUUCCUCAUGGUGGGGGUUGGAAAGAUUUUUUGGUCUGGGAUGGGCUCGCGGCCUAUAAGCUUGUUGGUGAGGUAAUGGCUCACCAAGGCGUCGACGGGUAGCCGGCCUGAGAGGGUGACCGGCGACACUGGGACUGAGGCAAGGCAGAGGCGGCUAAGGGAGGCAGCAGUGGGGAAUACUGCACAAUGGGCGCAAGCCUGAUGAAGCAGCGCCGCGUGAGGGAUGACGGCUUUGGGGUUAUAAACAUCUUUUAGCAGGAAAGAAGCGAAAGUGACGGUACCUGAAGAAAAAGCGACGGCUAACUACGUG
rnacentral:rRNA from 1 species